AUUGAACGCUGGCGGCAGGCCUAACACAUGCAAGUCGAGCGGAUGAAGGGAGCUUGCUCCUGGAUUCAGCGGCGGACGGGUGAGUAAUGCCUAGGAAUCUGCCUGGUAGUGGGGGAUAACGUCCGGAAACGGGCGCUAAUACCGCAUACGUCCUGAGGGAGAAAGUGGGGGAUCUUCGGACCUCACGCUAUCUGAUGAGCCUAGGUCGGAUUAGCUAGUUGGUGGGGUAAAGGCCUACCAAGGCGACGAUCCGUAACUGGUCUGAGAGGAUGAUCAGUCACACUGGAACUGAGACACGGUCCAGACUCCUACGGGAGGCAGCAGUGGGGAAUAUUGGACAAUGGGCGAAAGCCUGAUCCAGCCAUGCCGGGUGUGUGAAGAAGGUCUUCGGAUUGUAAAGCACUUUAAGUUGGGAGGAAGGGCAGUAAGUUAAUACCUUGCUGUUUUGACGUUACCAACAGAAUAAGCACCGGCUAACUUCGU
rnacentral:rRNA from 1 species